GCCCCGCGCCCUGGGACUUGCGGUGGCCCCGCGGUGGCCCCGCCCCGGCCCCGCCUCCGGGCUCUGGAGUCCCUGCGAUCCCGAAGCGGAGGAGCACGGCCGGCGGGGUCGACGGCUCUCCCAGGUGAACGCCUCUUUGGCGGGGAUCUCAGCGGAGCCGGCUCUCGGGAAGGCUCGAUUUGCACCUCAGGACACCCAGCUGGAGGUGACUCCCAGGCCCCCGGUUCUGUGCGUUAGGUCCUCGGUUGAGAAGUAGGAAUUGACGGGUCCGUCCCCUCGUGCGUGUUCUUCACCUUUCACGAAGUGACCAGCUAUGAAGAAAUGGCCCAACAGUGCUCGUCCCCGGCCUUGGAGGAGGGUGGGACGGUGAGGAUCAGCCGCUGGGUUCGGGCUAGCGCUGCUGAGGAGCGGGGAGGGCCGAGAAGUGGGCUGGGUUGACGGUCCCAGAGCCCCUGCGUUCGGUCCUGUGCCCAGAGCGUCCACUGGGCACGCCUGAGUGAGACUGUCCUCAAGAGCUCUCCGGUGGAAAGGAAAAAUGCAGAAAGGACGAAGAGGCCCUAUGGGUUAGAAGAGUUUACACCAGGUGGCCAUAUCUUUCAGUGGGAGAGGAGAAAACUGAAAAGGGAAAUGAAAGUCCAGAUUGUUAAAGGAUCUUUCAAAGAUCCUGUCAGACACCUGGAGUCCAGCCCUACUUCACAGAAGGCAGUGUUGACCCAACACUGUCUAACCUAGCACGUAUCCUGGUCCUGUCCACCCUCUCCUGGGAGGCAGCUCUGUGCUCACCUCAGCUGGUUCAUCUUUUGGGAGCAUCGCUGGCAUCUCUGGGACUUGGGUGACUUCUGUAUUUUCUGGUGGUUUACAGGCAGGCAGGUCCUCACAUGUACACUGUUCUUCACACAGGACCUGAGCUGGAUGAGGAGGGGAUCUGCUGCCCAGCUGGAAGUUUUCCUCGGGUGGAUCUUGGAGCUGGAGGGCAUUGUCUUUGUCAUAGCCAUGGCUUUGUUUAUCAGCAUCCUGAGUCUGAGGAAGUGGGUCUCACACCCACAGCGCUGAGUGAUGAGAUGUAUGCAGGUGAAGACUGUGGAGAAGGAGCAGCAGCUGCCUGAGAAGGGCAAUGGCUUCCUCCAAAUCUCCAUGUGAUUGAAGGUGCAGUGACCAAGUCAGGGCUGAGCGUGGGGACUGUCUGGUGACUUCCCCAGGCCAACCUCGCCGAUCAGGAGGCUCUCCCAUAGGAGGGUCCUGGUGGCCUUCUUCCCCACCACUCAUCUGAUCGUGGUCUCAUGAGUGUUUACUGAAGUUGGCCUGACAAGACUCCAAGGAAGCCUCUGAUCAUAAACCUGGUGGAUAGCAGACACAUGUGGCCUUCUCUCACUGGACCUUCUCCUCUGAGUCCCAUUAGGAUAUUUCAUACUGGACCUAGGAUCCACCCAGGUAAUCAAAGAUGACCUUUUCUCAAGGUCCUUGAUUUAAUUACAGCUGUGGACUCUUUUUCCAAAUAAGGUACCAUUCCCAGCAUCCCAAUGUUAGGACGUGGGCAGAUCACUUUGUGGCUGCCACAUGGCCUGAUGUACCUACCAACUUGGAAGUCACUGAAAGGAAGUGUCCUGGAGGACUCAGUACUUGUCUUGAUUCAGCUCCAUUCUGGCCUGAGAAUGAAGAGAACUAAUGCACUUGCCAGCAAAGAGUUGUGUGGGUAAUUAUGCCUACUGAGUUGGCCAAUACUUACGCAAAUACUUUAUUAAAAAAUAAGAAUCUUG